GUCCGCCCCAAACGGUUCGCGAAAAAUUCGCGACAUCACUACUGGCGGAUGAUUGGGGUCUAUUCACCAAACAGUAUGUCGCCGAGAGUUGAAAGUAACACUGAAAAAAGAGAACAAAAAAAAAAAACGAUAAGAGAAAAUCAAAAUGUACUAUACAGUCACAUUGGAGAUUUUUUUCCCCCCAGGUUUCUUGGCUAACAUUUUUCAAGCACCCCAAACUCCAUAACGAAUACAGCUCACUGUAGUGAUUAUAGUGCUAGAGAUAUGUUAGCACCAUUGCCGCUUUAGAACUCUGGGGCUCCACUGAUAACGCAAAGAGGGAGAGAAAUACAUGCUUAAUUUAGUGUCCUUUUUAUAUUUAUUCAUUUUUUAUUAUAUAAAUCAUUUUUGGUUUGCAUUUUCUUUAAGUUCAGUGUCCUUGCAACCUGUAAAC